rnacentral:tRNA from 1 species
UAGCAUAGCCUGGAUAAUGCACCGGCCUCCUAAGCCGGGGACCGCGGGUUCGAAUCCUGC